GGAGAGAGUAGUGAGUGGUGUGGGAGUGAAGUGAUGAAGAUAUAGUGUGGUGGGAGGUACAGGUCAUUGUGAUGAUGAUGAUGAUGCUUAUUAUCUCUUCCUCAGUCAUAUCUCUAAGACGACCAGCUGGCUGGACCCCAGAGCUCAGAGCAGGGAGAUACUCAGCAAAACAGAGUUGCCUGCGUUCACGGACCAGCCGGCAGAGCUGAAGGGCUAUUCCAUCCACACCCGUCUGUCUAAAGGGCCGCGAGGGUUCGGCUUCAACAUAGUGGGAGGAAGCAAACAGAGAGAGUUCCUCCAGGUCUACAGCGUUACACCUGGGGGACCACCAGCUCUCAGCACAGCUGAUAUCCUGGUCUACAUCAAUGACAGCUGUGUCCUGGGUCUGUCUCAUAAAGAGGUGGUAGAGAUGUUGAAGUCUGUCCCUAUGGGUCACAGUGUGGACGUUGUGUUACGGAGAGGCUAUCCCAUGCUCUACAACCCAGACGGCUGUCCCAAACAACCCCUGACCCCCCCCUCCGCCUCCUCCUCCUCUCCUCUUGAACCCCUCAGCGCUGCAGCCACCCCUCCCUCAACAGCCACCGCUCAGCCCCUCUCCACCCCCGGUCCCGGUCCUGGCCCUGCUGAGCCCCCCCAACCUACCGGCCUGGCUAACCUGAAUCGUACGUCUCAUCACAACGGAAACUAUCUCAGAGUGUCGGGAAUCUCAGGGUCGGGGCUGGACGCUAACGGGAACGCAGCAGACCUGGUGUCGGCGCCCCCCUCCUACCCGCUGUCUAACGGAAUCCUUAGCUCUUCCGCCAGCUCAGCUUGUGCCCCCUCUUCUCACAGUAGGGGCAUCCCCCCUCCUCCCCCGCCUGAACGAACCUCCACCAGCCAGAGUGACUCAGAGGAAGGAGCCUCGGGUGGAGCGACACAGAGAUGGUCUCUAAUGCGCUACAACGGAAACUCCCUCCCCACCCCCUCCUCCAUCCUCCACCACCAGAGUGACUUCUCCACCUCCACCCUGCCCAUCUCCGUCUCCAAACUGCCCCUGUCCCAGCCGGACGUGUGCACCGCCACCACCCCUGGAGCCCCCUGCCAACGACCCACCAUGCCCCAGACCUCCCUCAUGCUCCCCUCGCCCAUGGAGGUCCCCCCUUGUGGCUUCAAUGGCUGCCCAGCCAACGCCCACCCUCAUGGGGGCCACAGCGCGGCCAGUGAGGGAGUACCUGGUGGGGAUGGAGGAGGGGAGCUGGUCCCUGUGCCCCUGGGGAGGAGUGAGGGGGGUGGGAUGGGGUUCAGUGUGACAGCGGGGGGGAAAGGGGGGCAGCUGGCCCUGGUGAAGAGGGUCUGGGACAGAAGGCAGUGCUCUUCCCUGCAGCCAGGGGAUGCUAUAGUCAAGAUCAACGGCGCCGACGUGCAGAGUCUCAGCUUCGCUCAGGUCCAGCGGGUCCUCCAGAAACACACCAAGCAGGGAGAAGUAGUGCUGUUGGUUUACAGAGGAGGUAAGACCAUUAACCUGUAUAACCAUUAA
rnacentral:lncRNA from 8 species